GCGGCUAUCGUCUAGUGGUAUAGGAUCUCACCUUCCCAUAAGUGGCGCUACAGUGCGGUAAUAGGUGAGGACGCGAGUUCGAACCUCGCUGGUCGCA